GUGAGGAAUUUUCCGCAAUGGGCGAAAGCCUGACGGAGCAAUGCCGCGUGAAGGAUGAAGGCCUAUGGGUUGUAAACUUCUUUUCUCAGAAAAGAAUUAUGACGGUAUCUGAGGAAUAAGCAUCGGCUAACUCUGUGCCAGCAGCCGCGGUAAGACAGAGGAUGCAAGCGUUAUCCGGAAUGAUUGGGCGUAAAGCGUCUGUAGGUUGUUUAAAAAGUAUUCUGUCAAAGAUUAGGGCUUAACCCUAGAUAGGCAGAAUAAACUUUUAAGCUAGAGUUUGGUAGAGGCAGAGGGAAUUCCCGGUGGUGCGGUGAAAUGCGUAGAUAUCGGGAGGAACACCAAAGGCGAAGGCACUCUGCUGGGCCAAUACUAACACUGAGAGACGAAAGCGAGGGGAGCAAAUGGGAUUAGAAACCCGGGUAGUCC
rnacentral:rRNA from 1 species